UUCAGGCCCUCACACAUUCGUCACGAGCUCAGGCAACGGAGAAAGGAGUGGAGGUGAUAGGAGUAAAAACAUAUACUUGGUGAGGCUAGGCCAACUGAUAUGGAGAGAAGCAAAGAGAUGGAGAACUUGAAAGGCUAUAGGAGUUGUGUUGACUAUAUGAGUACAGGUGAUGGAUGCUGACAGAGGGAAUCUCUGCCUGGAGACAAAGCCUGUCUCCACUUGGUUAGGCUCCAGCUUUCCAUUUGCAGGCUGCAAUUUCAUCAAUGACCCUCUUUGGAUUUUGUGGUUAUAACAGACGAAAAGAAAAAGCUAGACGAGGGAAGAAAUUCCGAAAGCAAGGGACGAAUCUUCCAACUGAAAUACCCGGCGAUGGAGCAGGUAGAUCACGGAGCCAGUAGCGAACUAGCACGAACUCAAGCCACGCCCCCACAAGGGCUGACUCAGUCGUUUACUAUUCGCCUCCGCACUUUCUCCGCUCUAUCCCAACCCAACCACAACCCUGGGUGGGCGGAGCUAAAACCAAAAAAGGUGACUUGGGGAGGAGCAAGUGACGUCGUUGCUAAGGCAACUCGAAAUCUGGGCCCAGGAGUCACCAGAGGUAGCGUUGAGAAUGAACAAACGGGAGCUGAGGCCCUGCACAAGCUUCAUUCAACUUCAGGGGUUGCUGCACUUUGACCACUGAAGAUGACCAAAGGAAAUCACAUCUAUAUUGAACGGAAUCUUCACUUACAUUCUUAAACUGAUGGGACUACAGAGGGGGCAGAAAUUACUUUUUGAAACAAUCUACUGAGGGAAUUCCCUGGAGGUCCAAUGGUGAGGACUCUGUGCUUCCCCUACAGGGGGCAUGGGUUCAACCCCUGGUGUGAGAAGAUCCCAGUGUCAUGGCCAAACAAAUAAAAGUAAAGUGUGUGAAAUGGACAGCCAGGCUACAAAGCCGGGGUUAAAUGGAGAAGGGGCAAAGUUUCACUCUAACCCUUAAACCCCCUUUUCCCCAAUGGUGCUGCACGGUUUGACCCACCUAAAGGCUACCCACCCAGAGGCCAGGCAAUGGGAGGGACCUCUUGUGUGUGACCAUGUGAUCCAAUUCAAGUCACUCCCCUCACUGUAUACAAGCCAGCCCACCAGAAAAGUCCAGGUCUCCCAAGUCUGGCAUCCAGGUCACACCAGCUGUUCUAGACUAGCCAUGGUCCAAUCCUCACAUCUUUAUCCCAGCUCCUCCCACUCCUUUGACAUGUCUUCCCUUUCCUGACCCAGCUCCACAGGAUUCAGCCUUUCAAUAGCCACCCUUUCACUCCCUGAAUCUGGCUCAAUCCCUAUAGGCUACAUUAAAAAGAGAAAUAAAACAAGAAGCAAAGUUUCCUGAGAUAACUGAUUCCUUGGCAGGAGGGAAGCAUUGGGGAAUAUUUCCAGGGUGGCUGAACUUUGCACCCUCUUCAAUAGACAAUUUCCCAUUAGGUAAUCUGCCGUCCUUUAUUCCCUCCCUCUGUCCCAAAUCCUCAGGAACUGGCAUGGGGCCCAUAUAUCUGUAGAGUUGAGAGUUCUGUGAGGUAGA